rnacentral:lncRNA from 1 species
CCCACCAAUCUCACUUACCUGAUCAAUUUGAUGAAUUAUGUUUUGAUUAGAUCACUAAGUGAUUCAAGUGAACCCAUGCCAUUAAGGUUGAUCAAUGUGACUGAUCUAGGUGCCAUUUCAAUCAGCAUGAUCCUAAUCUGAUUCAAUGACUUGGUGAAGUCAGUGAGAAGAUUGUGAUUUAUUGAUUGAUCUCUUCUCUCUUCUUAAUUCAUAAUUAAAUCUUCUAAAUUAUUAGAUCCCUUAAAUGAGAUAGUUAUGAUAAUAACUAGAUCAUAGCCUUCU